GCAGCAGGCGCGCAAAUUACCCACUCCCGGCACGGGGAGGUAGUGACGAAAAAUAACGAUGCGGGACUCAUCCGAGGCCUCGUGAUCGGAAUGAGUAUACUCUAAAUCCUUAUACGAGUAUCAAUUGGAGGGCAAGUCUGGUGCCAGCAGCCGCGGUAAUUCCAGCUCCAAUAGCGUAUAUUAAAGUUGUUGCGGUUAAAAAGCUCGUAGUUGGAUCUGUGUCCCGCGCCGUCGGUUCACCGCCUGCCGGUGUCCAACUGGCGUGUAUGCGGGACGUCCUGCCGGUGGCGUGUCCGGCUCCCGGUCGUCCGGCGUAGGGGGUCACGGCGCUGGGGCCCCUGGCCUCGUCGUCGCCCCGAAGCCCGACCGUGGCUGCCCGGCCGCCUUUUAAUCCCGUCGCGGUGCUCUUUGCUGAGUGUCGAGGCGGGCCGGCACGUUUACUUUGAACAAAUUAGAGUGCUUUAAGCAGGCCCUGUCCCGCCUGUAUGCUGUGUGCAUGGAAUAAUGGAAUAGGACCUCGGUUCUAUUUUGUUGGUUUCCGGAACCUGAGGUAAUGAUCAAUGGGGACAGGCGGGGGCAUUCGUAUUGCGACGUUAGAGGUGAAAUUCUUGGAUCGUCGCAAGACGGACCGAAGCGAAAGCAUUUGCCAAGUAUGUUCCCGUCGAUCAAGAACGAAAGUUAGAGGUUCGAAGGCGAUCAGAUACCGCCCUAGUUCUAACCAUAAACUAUGCCUGCCAGCGAUCCGCCGACGUUCCUCCGAUGACUCGGCGGGCAGCUUCCGGGAAACCAGAGCUUUUGGGUUCCGGGGGAAGUAUGGUUGCAAAGCUGAAACUUAAAGGAAUUGACGGAAGGGCACCACCAGGAGUGGAGCCUGCGGCUUAAUUUGACUCAACACGGGAAAACUCACCAGGCCCGGACACCGCUAGGAUUGACAGAUUGAGAGCUCUUUCUUGAUUCGGUGGGUGGUGGUGCAUGGCCGNUCUUAGUUGGUGGAGCGAUUUGUCUGGUUAAUUCCGAUAACGAACGAGACUCUAGCCUGCUAAAUAGGCGUUCCCGGUAUCCACAAUCGUGCUACCGGCGAUAAAAUUUCUUCUUAGAGGGACAGGCGGCUUCUAGCCGCACUAAACUGAGCAAUAACAGGUCUGUGAUGCCCUUAGAUGUCCUGGGCCGCACGCGCGCUACACUGAAGGAAUCAGCGUGUCUUCCCUGUCCGAAAGGACCGGGUAACCCGCUGAACCUCCUUUGUGCUAGGGAUUGGGGCUUGCAAUUGUUCCCCAUGAACGAGGAAUUCCCAGUAAGCGCGAGUCAUAAGCUCGCGUUGAUUACGUCCCUGCCCUUUGUACACACCGCCCGUCGCUACUACCGAUUGAAUGAUUUAGUGAGGUCNNNNNNNNNNNNNNNNGAGGCCGCCCCUGCGGUCUCCGAUGUUGCUGGAAAGAUGACCAAACUUGAUCAUUAGAGGAA
rnacentral:rRNA from 1 species